rnacentral:misc_RNA from 2 species
CCGAGUGAGGGUUCCCUCGUGGGCCCAACCUCCCACCCGUGUUUACCGUACCCCGUUGCUUCGGCGGUCGCCCCCCCCGGGGGGUCCGCCGGAGACCAACUUGAACCCUGUAUGAUAGCAUUGCAGUCUGAGUCGAUUGAUACCAAUCAGUUA